rnacentral:lncRNA from 1 species
UUACAGAAGGGAUAAAGCCCCAAAAGUGUCCCCCGACCUUGAUCCACCACUGCCAGUUGGCUCUUAAAAGUUCUACAGAGCUACAUUUUUCCCGUCAAUGUAGAUUGUGAUGAAAAAUUAAAUUGGCUCAUGAGCCAUAUACAGAAGACUUCUAAAAUCAACACUGAAGUGUUUCCCUUUCUCAGGAUUUGGCUGUGAAGCGUGACCAACCAAGCCAGGAGGAAGGGGAGGGAUCUUGGAGCUGGCCCACGAUCUGCAAAGAGGAAAGGAUGGCAGGGGAGGGGCAGAGAGGAGCGGCAUAUCUCAGCUCAGAAGCAGACGGAGGAGCUGCAGCUGAAGGCGCCAGCUUGAGCAAACAUAUGGAAGUGGGAAGCACAGAGCAUGUGAAGGAAACUGUUUAUUACAGUUGGGAUAAAAUAAAAGGAAAGUUCACAUGAAGGAGCUGUGCGGCAUACUGAAGUAUGGAGGUUGCCUGAAGGAAAAGAAUUUAUGCCAACCGUUUGAUCAACAAGCUGAACUAGCAGUUUUUGUUUAUAGAAUAUCAUUUUUACAUGAAAUAAAAACUAAAAGUAUUAGUAUUUAAAGUUGGGUAUUUGGCACACACUUUCUCAAACGCAAAAUUAGCCUGUUGCUUCAAAAAAAAAUAAUAACUGACCUAUUUGUUGCCAAUGAUAAAAGUCAAGCCUUCAAACAAAAAUUAGAUACUUGGAAAAAUUGUAUCUGCCACCAAGAGUGUGACAGCUUUCCCAAUAUGCAGACGGUUAAUAAGACGGUAUUGUGUCCUUAAAAAUUUGUAGAGGGUAGAUCUCAUGUUAAGUGUUUUUAAUACACAAAAUAAAAAUAAAACACAAAGACACAAGGAAACUUUGGAGGUGAUGGACACGUUUAUCACCUGGAUUGUGGAGAUGGUAAAUGUAAUAUAAAGUUUAUUUGCAAUGUGGAAUAUGGAGCCAUAUGAGUGAAUGUUUCUCACUUUGUGGUAUUUAAAUCCAUUGGUCUUUCUUUCAUUUUGGAUCUUUCUUAUUCAUGCAUGAUUUGGAAAAUACUGGCUCAUGGAAAUAAAUGUUAGCACAUUUUAUAAUGCCAAAUACAGGAGUGUAUACAUUUGUCCAAACUCAACAAAUUCUAUACAUUGAUUAUAUGCAGGUUUUUGUAUACCAAUUAUAUCUCAAUAAAGCUGGAGGGGAAGAAGACUUUUC